AUUAAGUAACGUCCCGCCAAACC
rnacentral:siRNA from 1 species